GAUGAAGAACGUAGCGAAAUGCGAUAACUAGUGUGAAUUGCAGAAUUCCGUGAAUCAUCGAGUCUUUGAACGCACAUUGCGCCCCCUGGUAUUCCGGGGGGCAUGCCUGUCCGAGCGUCAUUGCUGCCCAUCAAGCACGGCUUGUGUGUUGGGUCGUCGUCCCCCCCUCCGGGGGGGGACGGGCCCUAAAGGCAGCGGCGGCACCGCGUCCGAUCCUCGAGCGUAUGGGGCUUUGUCACCCGCUCUGUAGGCCCGGCCGGCGCUUGCCGAACGCAAAACAACCAUUCUUUCCAGGUUGACCUCGGAUCAGGUAGGGAUACCCGCUGAACUUAAGAAUAUCAAUAAGCGGAGGA
rnacentral:misc_RNA from 1 species